rnacentral:antisense_RNA from 1 species
CUUCAACGAGCCCAGCCACAGCGGCUCUUCCGCCGUCCUGUCGCUGCCGUAGGUCGCCAGCAGCGCCUGGGCCUC